rnacentral:rRNA from 1 species
UGGGGGAUAUUGCACAAUGGGCGAAAGCCUGAUGCAGCGACGCCGCGUGGGGGAUGAAGGCCUUCGGGUUGUAAACUUCUUUUGCUCUGAACAAGGCAUGCCUUUGGGGUGUGUUGAGUGUAGGGGUUGAUUAGCGCCGGCUAACUACGUGCCAGCAGCCGCGGUAAUACGUAGGGCGCGAGCGUUGUCCGGAAUUAUUGGGCGUAAAGGGCUUGUAGGUGGCUGGUUGCGUCUGUCGUGAAAGCUCAUGGCUUAACUGUGGGUUUGCGGUGGGUACGGGCUGGCUUGAGUGCAGUAGGGGAGGCUGGAAUUCCUGGUGUAGCGGUGGAAUGCGCAGAUAUCAGGAGGAAUACCGAUGGCGAAGGCGGGUCUCUGGGCUGUUACUGACGCUGAGGAGCGAAAGCGUGGGGAGCGAACAGG